rnacentral:rRNA from 1 species
CGUCUAUGUUUCUUGGAACAGAACGUCACAGAGGGUGAGAAUCCCGUGCGAUGAGAUGUCCCAGACCUAUGUAAAGUUCCUUCGAAGAGUCGAGUUGUUUGGGAAUGCAGCUCUAAGUGGGUGGUAAAUUCCAUCUAAAGCUAAAUAUUGGCGAGAGACCGAUAGCGAACAAGUACAGUGAUGGAAAGAUGAAAAGAACUUUGAAAAGAGAGUGAAAAAGUACGUGAAAUUGUUGAAAGGGAAGGGCUUGAGAUCAGACUUGGUAUUUUGUAUGUUACUCUCUCGGGGGUGGCCUCUACAGUUUACCGGGCCAGCAUCAGUUUGAGCGGUAGGAUAAGUGCAAAGAAAUGUGGCACUGCUUCGGUAGUGUGUUAUAGUCUUUGUCGAUACUGCCAGCUUAGACUGAGGACUGCGGCUUCGGCCUAGGAUGUUGGCAUAAUGAUCUUAAGUCGCCCGUCUUGAAACACGGACCAAGGAGUCUAACGUCUAUGCGAGUGUUUGGGUGUAAAACCCGUACGCGUAAUGAAAGUGAACGUAGGUAGGACCUCCUUUAGGAGUGCACUAUCGACCGAUCCUGAUGUCUUCGGAUGGAUUUGAGUAAGAGCAUAGCUGUUGGGACCCGAAAGAUGGUGAACUAUGCCUGAAUAGGGUGAAGCCAGAGGAAACUCUGGUGGAGGCUCGUAGCGGUUCUGACGUGCAAAUCGAUCGUCGAAUUUGGGUAUAGGGCG